ensembl:lncRNA
UAUGGUUAGAAAGAAGCUUGUUCAGGCCACUUUUCUCUCUGUUAUUGAUUAUGUUGACUUGUUGUAUAUACAUGCAGCCUCCUCUGUCUGACAGAGACUGGACUCUGUUUAUCAUGCAUCCUUGUGCUUUAUAACAGAUGCCAAGUCACUCACCCACCAUUACACCUUGUACCAAAUGGAAGGUUGGACCUCACUUUAUAUGUGCAGAAAGAUACAUUUGUAAGUGUUCAUCUACAAAGGCCUUUUGGGUAAACUCCCUCUUUACCUCUGUAGUCUGGUCUCCUUCACCACCAGCAGGUAAACUCCCUCUGUAGUCUGGUCUCCUUCACCACCAGCAGGUAAACUCCCUCUUUACCUCUGUAGUCUGGUCUCCUUCACCACCAGCAGGUAAACUCCCUCUUUACCUCUGUAGUCUGGUCUCCUUCACCACCAGUAGGUAAACUCCCUCUGUAGUCUGGUCUCCUUCACCCCCAGCAGGUAAACUCCCUCUUUACCUCUGUAGUCUGGUCUCCUUCACCACCAGCAGGUAAACUCCCUCUGUAGUCUGGUCUCCUUCACCACCAGCAGGUAAACUCCCUCUUUACCUCUGUAGUCUGGUCUCCUUCACCACCAGCAGUGGUUGCUAUGUUACCAUACCCGGUCUGCUAGGUGGUUGCUAUGUUACCAUACCCGG